UGCAUCAGUAGACUGUAGAUGAUCUCUCUCGAUGGUAUUAGCUAUGUCACUGUGGCCCACGAUGGGACUGGACAAAGCUUUGACAACAUCUUCCCAGCGUCUCUCCCCAUCUUUCAGCCAUUCUUUCAAACCCUCCCGAUAGCAGUCAUCAGGAUCAUCUCGCCAUUUCGUACCAAUGCUGUCGAUGGUAUCCGAGGAUAUCUCAAGAACCAGCAAGAAGUUUCGCCACUUGAUUCGAGCAUCAAACGUAGCUAUGUAUAGUUUUCCUAGAUCUGCUAUUGUGAGAUAGUCAGACAUCUUCUCUGUAAAAGAUAAGUAUGAAUGUAUAGAGCCAAAAAUUGCAUCUGAAUCAUGUACAUUGUAAUCAGUGCUGUCUGCACUACUCACUGAUUAAAUCCAGAGACUUUAUUCAGAUCGCAGCAAGUAGAAAAAACAAUACUUGUCGUCUACCAGAUCUGCAAUAACAAUGAUGAAUCAGCAAAUCACGUUUUGAAGCAUGACCAAAAUCUAUUGCCUGGGAUGGAGCGAGGGGCUGGAGGCUUUGUCCAGUCCUAUUGUGAGCCACAGUGACAUAGCCAGGACCAUAGCCUGGAGAGAGACCAUUGCUGAGGAGGUGGGAAUGGCAAGUUCCUGUCCAAUCAGAUGAUCCUACAUGACGAAGCUGCUCGUAAAGAUGCAAGUCUGAUGACAAACUCAGGAUGAUGAACCUGAGGAUUAGUACCAACCAGGUGAGCUGGACUUUGACCCCAACGAGUGCUGACUCGGCUCUGUUUAAGUCCAAGAGCAAGAAAUCAAAGUGGCUCGACUAUUAUGCAGUCAUUUUUCAGCCCGGCCAAGUGUUGAGGAGACAAGAAGAGGCACUGAGAAUGGAGGUAGAGGUACAGAGUACAUUAGCUGGAAAAUGCAUUUGUGUCAUACUUUGUAGAGUCCCUUAAAGUCAUUCAAGGUCAGCUAUAGUGUGUCCUAUUUGAAGGCUAGGUGUGCAAUGUACAAUCAUGUACGACCCCCCCCCACACACACCUUUAGGCCUACUAUGCUGCUAAGAAAGAGAGGGGCCUCACGUAAACUGGCCACUCAGUGUGACUAUGACCAUGUGACUCUUUAACCCCUCAGUUCCCGAGCCCCACCCCUCACUGUCUGACUCGGAAGAGGAGAUAGACUUUGUAUUCUGGGAGAAGGCGUCCACCCUACCCUCGGACAAGACCCCAACUAAGGACUUGAACUUGUUAUGAGACUGUUAAAUAUUAUUUUGUCUGUUUUUGUACUAUUUUCUGGCAAUGUAAUUAUGUAUGUACCACUUCA